AAGUGUUAGCUAAAUAUGUAGUUCAUGAUGAAAUACAUCUGGAGCAUUUGUGAGGCCCAAGAUUCAGUAUUGAGCACUGAGGAGAAACUCCCAGUAAUUCACAUUCCUUUGUAGAUCAGAAUGUGGGUAAUUGCUAGUACAUUCCACCCACACAUGGGCACUGAGUUUCAUCCUUUGUAUUGCCAAAAGUUUGCAAGUAAAUAAGUAAAGUAAAAAGAGUUAUAAGGCUCUAUCUUGGUGUUUAUCAGAUGAGUCAUGGAAAGGCUGUACACUGAUAUAGAGGAUCCAGUAAAAAAAAUUUAAGUAUCGUGAAUCAUUGCACUCUAUGGACUCAUUUGAGAACUUCUGAGCAUAGGUUGUAAGCCUCUACUCACUCUAAGCUAAAUGAAUACAGUAAGAUUCCUGAGGAGAAGUGUACUGAAGCUGAGACUAGAUAGUAGAAGACAUGUGUUAACAAAAUGGGAAGCUGGAGAGGAAGAUGGGUUCAGUGGAUUGAAAGCUCAUACUGAAGAAUUUUGAACAAAUUACAGGACAGGCUGACAUGCUGAUUUCCUUCUCUUCCAGUGGGACCUGGUGUGUGGAUCUCAGGUACUGGGUUCAAUGACUAAAUUUAUAUUCAUGAUUGGAAACUUGAUAAGACCUUUCCUAGGUGGACACUUAUCAGACAGGUAAGUGUCUGUGCUUUGUAGCUGUCUCUGCAUGUGAGUUUUCUCAUCAGCUACAACCCAUUUGCUCUAUAAAAGUCAUUGCAGAUUUGUUCCUCUAAGUGCACCUUUGACCUUAAAGAUCAAUAAACACAAAUAGACAUUUUAGUUAAUGUGUAAAAGUUUUUGUAUUGUGUUGACACAGAACUAACUCUUAUUGGAUAAUUAAGAGGGUCAGCAAAGAUUAAGAGAAUAUGGCAGACAUGAUUUAGAAAAAAGAGAAAAGUUAAUCAUAGGAAUUGUACAAAUAAUUCCUGUUUGUUGUCUUUAGCAACUGUAUUGUUCCCUGAUGGAAUCUUUGUCUUUUCCUCGGGUUUGGGAGGAGGUUAACCUUCAUAUGUGCUCUAUUGCUGAUGGCCAUCAGUGGGACCUGUGCAGCUUUGGCUCCCACAUUCUUCAUCUACCGCUUACUUCGCUUCCUAAAAGGGGUGGCUGUCUGAGUCAGCUAGGUGGCUGAUUGUGACAAACAAACCCCAGAAGUGCUUACAGGAGCUGAGAAAAGUUGAUUGCAAGAAUGGAGUAAAGAUUUCUGGAGACACCCUAACCAUGGAGUGCUCAGAAGAUUCCACAUGAAUGCCAGAUAUUGGAUAUGGACCUGCAGUAUUAAAUGCUUUCCUUUCUGGAUUUCAGUCCUGCAUUCGGCCAGUCAUUUCUUCUUAUAUUCCACUCUUGUCUUUUGAAAUAGGAACAGUUAUUCUGCUUCUCUUGAAUACAACAAGUAAAUCAUCUAGUUUGUUAUAUAAAAGUUGGACUUAUGAAGGAGAAUCAUUCUUGAUAUAUUUAAUGAUUUUCAAAAUAAAGAAGUAUUAUACAGGACACAGAAAA